UGAGGAAUAUUGGUCAAUGGACGAAAGUCUGAACCAGCCAAGUAGCGUGCAGGAUGACGGCCCUAUGGGUUGUAAACUGCUUUUAUGUGAGAAUAAAGUUAGGUAUGUAUACUUAUUUGCAUGUAUCACAUGAAUAAGGACCGGCUAAUUCCUUGCCAGNNCCCGCGGNAAUANGGANGGNNNAGGUCGUUAUCCGGAUUUAUUGGGUUUAAAGGGUGCGUAGGCCGUUUGAUAAGCGUGCUGUGAAAUAUAGUGGCUCAACCUCUAUCGUGCAGCGCGAACUGUCGAACUUGAGUGCGUAGUAGGUAGGCGGAAUUCGUGGUGUAGCGGUGAAAUGCUUAGAUAUCACGAAGAACUCCGAUUGCGAAGGCAGCUUACCGUAACGUUACUGACGCUUAAGCACGAAGGUGCGGGUAUCGAACAGGAUUAGAUACCCUGGUAGUCCGCACAGUAAACGAUGGAUGCUCGCUGUUGGCCUUUUUGGUCAGUGGCUUAGCGAAAGCGUUAAGCAUCCCACCUGGGGAGUACGCCGGCAACGGUG
rnacentral:rRNA from 1 species